rnacentral:rRNA from 1 species
UACGUAGGGGGCAAGCGUUGUCCGGAAUCAUUGGGCGUAAAGCGCGUGUAGGCGGCCCGAUAAGUCCGCUGUGAAAGCCCAGGGCUCAACCCUGGAAUGCCGGUGGAUACUGUCGGGCUCGAGUCCGGAAGAGGCGAGUGGAAUUCCUGGUGUAGCGGUGAAAUGCGCAGAUAUCAGGAGGAACACCAAUGGCGAAGGCAGCUCGCUGGGACGGUACUGACGCUGAGACGCGAAAGCGUGGGGAGCAAACAGG